rnacentral:lncRNA from 1 species
AGUCAUUCUGCAAUAUAAUAAUAUACAAAGCAAUUAAUUUAGUAUAUCUCACAGUAGUCCUACAAUGGCAAAGCUUGCAAAGAUUGGGAAAAUUGGAUUUUCCCUUAUAGAAGAAAGAAAUAGUAAGGGAAGAACAGAGUCUUGUUCUGGUAGUGAAGAGCCAAAACAAGCUUGUGUUUACAGAUAUUAUCCACAUCCUGAUCAUUUUGUUCAGGUUAUUCCACCUUCUGCUACUACUGAAGCCAGAGUCAUUUUAAGUCAAUUUCCAGAGAGCAAAGCAACUGUUGUUUCAUUCUAAAAUUAAUUAGCUAGGACUGGCCUGUGUAUGCAUGUUAUCUACGUCUUGCCAGAAUUAAAAUCGUAUUAGCUAAGUAUGCAUGUACCUUGCUUGUACAUAGUUCUUUUUCACUAGGAAAAGUACGUGUUUACUGUAUAACUUCAAUAGUGUAAGGAUCUUAAGUACUCCUUGUACGUACUUUCGCUUUAAUUUUUGAGCGUCGCAGUUUUGAGAAUUCAACCUCAAUCAAGUGCAUGCCCCAUUUAGUUUUUUUUUUUUUUUUGUAGCAUGAGAGUAAUUAACCGAAACUAAUAUUAUAAAAAUUUUAAAAAAUAUAAACAUAAAAUAUAUAUAGUUUUACCGAAAGAGGGUUUCACGUGUUCCGUAUUUUUAAUGUAAAUUCGCCCCUAACUUCCUGUUAGUUUUUACUCUGAGCUAGUAGGCAUUUGAAUAUUGUGAUAUGUAAUCAGCGUUUCCAAACAAUAUUGGCACUGUUGAUAUACAUUACAAAUUACUUAUUUCGUAAAACUUAUGAUGGAAAGAAGGAGCACGUAUUUGUAAUUGAUGAUUGAUAAAUACGAACCUAGUUCACUACUUGUUGGCUUUCGUAUGUUGUAUCAUAUGAACUAGGUCCCAGAACAAGUGACGUGAAUGUGGUAUCAUGUGAACCAGGUCCCAGAACAGGUGACGUGACUAUACAAGGAAAUCAAGGACUAAUAAGAAAGAUUGGAGUCACGAAAUAAAAAAGAAAGUAAAUAAAAGAGAAAGAAGGAAAGAAUGGAGCAAAUAAGAAAAGAAAUUAAGAGCAAAGAAGGAAAGAAAUAAAAAGAAGAAAUAGAGUCUAAAGAGGAGUGAA